rnacentral:rRNA from 5 species
AGACCCGAAACCCGGUGAUCUAGCCAUGGGCAGGUUGAAGGUUGGGUAACACUAACUGGAGGACCGAACCGACUAAUGUUGAAAAAUUAGCGGAUGACCUGUGGCUGGGGGUGAAAGGCCAAUCAAACCGGGAGAUAGCUGGUUCUCCCCGAAAGCUAUUUAGGUAGCGCCUCGUGAAUUCAUCUCCGGGGGUAGAGCACUGUUUCGGCUAGGGGGCCAUCCCGGCUUACCAACCCGAUGCAAACUGCGAAUACCGGAGAAUGUUAUCACGGGAGACACACGGCGGGUGCUAACGUCCGUCGUGAAGAGGGAAACAACCCAGACCGCCAGCUAAGGUCCCAAAGUCAUGGUUAAGUGGGAAACGAUGUGGGAAGGCCCAGACAGCCAGGAUGUUGGCUUAGAAGCAGCCAUCAUUUAAAGAAAGCGUAAUAGCUCACUGGUCGAGUCGGCCUGCGCGGAAGAUGUAACGGGGCUAAACCAUGCACCGAAGCUGCGGCAGCGAACGUAUCACCCAAGACAACUUUACGGAGUUGACGAUUGACGGAGCGAAGCGACGUCAAAGCGUUCAUUAAAGUCGAGUUGGCUUAGGGAUACGUUCGUUGGGUAGGGGAGCGUUCUGUAAGCCUGUGAAGGUGUGUCGUGAGGCAUGCUGGAGGUAUCAGAAGUGCGAAUGCUGACAUAAGUAACGAUAAAGCGGGUGAAAAGCCCGCUCGCCGGAAGACCAAGGGUUCCUGUCCAACGUUAAUCGGGGCAGGGUGAGUCGACCCCUAAGGCGAGGCCGAAAGGCGUAGUCGAUGGGAAACGGGUUAAUAUUCCCGUACUUGGUGUUACUGCGAAGGGGGGACGGAGAAGGCUAUGUUGGCCGGGCGACGGUUGUCCCGGUUUAAGCGUGUAGGUGUGUGUUCCAGGUAAAUCCGGUUCACUUUAACACUGAGGCGUGACGACGAGGCACUACGGUGCUGAAGCAACAAAUGCCCUGCUUCCAGGAAAAGCCUCUAAGCAUCAGGUAACACGAAAUCGUACCCCAAACCGACACAGGUGGUCAGGUAGAGAAUACCAAGGCGCUUGAGAGAACUCGGGUGAAGGAACUAGGCAAAAUGGUGCCGUAACUUCGGGAGAAGGCACGCUGACACGUAGGUGAAGUGAUUUACUCAUGGAGCUGAAGUCAGUCGAAGAUACCAGCUGGCUGCAACUGUUUAUUAAAAACACAGCACUGUGCAAACACGAAAGUGGACGUAUACGGUGUGACGCCUGCCCGGUGCCGGAAGGUUAAUUGAUGGGGUCAGCGCAAGCGAAGCUCCUGAUCGAAGCCCCGGUAAACGGCGGCCGUAACUAUAACGGUCCUAAGGUAGCGAAAUUCCUUGUCGGGUAAGUUCCGACCUGCACGAAUGGCGUAAUGAUGGCCAGGCUGUCUCCACCCGAGACUCAGUGAAAUUGAACUCGCUGUGAAGAUGCAGUGUACCCGCGGCAAGACGGAAAGACCCCGUGAACCUUUACUAUAGCUUGACACUGAACAUUGAGCCUUGAUGUGUAGGAUAGGUGGGAGGCUUUGAAGUGUGGACGCCAGUCUGCAUGGAGCCGACCUUGAAAUACCACCCUUUAAUGUUUGAUGUUCUAACGUGGACCCGUAAUCCGGGUUGCGGACAGUGUCUGGUGGGUAGUUUGACUGGGGCGGUCUCCUCCUAAAGAGUAACGGAGGAGCACGAAGGUUGGCUAAUCCUGGUCGGACAUCAGGAGGUUAGUGCAAUGGCAUAAGCCAGCUUGACUGCGAGCGUGACGGCGCGAGCAGGUGCGAAAGCAGGUCAUAGUGAUCCGGUGGUUCUGAAUGGAAGGGCCAUCGCUCAACGGAUAAAAGGUACUCCGGGGAUAACAGGCUGAUACCGCCCAAGAGUUCAUAUCGACGGCGGUGUUUGGCACCUCGAUGUCGGCUCAUCACAUCCUGGGGCUGAAGUAGGUCCCAAGGGUAUGGCUGUUCGCCAUUUAAAGUGGUACGCGAGCUGGGUUUAGAACGUCGUGAGACAGUUCGGUCCCUAUCUGCCGUGGGCGCUGGAGAACUGAGGGGGGCUGCUCCUAGUACGAGAGGACCGGAGUGGACGCAUCACUGGUGUUCGGGUUGUCAUGCCAAUGGCACUGCCCGGUAGCUAAAUGCGGAAGAGAUAAGUGCUGAAAGCAUCUAAGCACGAAACUUGCCCCGAGAUGAGUUCUCCCUGAGACUUAG